UACGAAGGGUGCGAGCGUUAAUCGGAAUUACUGGGCGUAAAGAGCACGUAGGCGGUUUGAUAAGCGGAAUGUGAAAGCCCCGGGCUUAACCUGGGAACUGCAUUCCGAACUGUCAGGCUAGAGUAUGAUAGAGGUGAGCGGAAUUUCCUGUGUAGCGGUGAAAUGCGUAGAUAUAGGAAGGAACAUCAGUUGCGAAGGCGGCUCACUGGAUCAAUACUGACGCUGAGGUGCGAAAGCGUGGGUAGCGAACAGG
rnacentral:rRNA from 1 species